rnacentral:tRNA from 1 species
GGAUGGAUUCCAGAGUGGUUAAAGGGUGCAGAUUGUAAAUCUGCCGUUAUUGACUUCGGUGGUUCAGAUCCACCUCUAUCCACCA